AUUGCUUGUUAAUUUGUUAAUUAUAAUCUGUAGAGCAAUGCAGUGAGGAUAAUAUUUUUUAAUGCAAUUUUUAGGUUCAAAUCAUGAAGAGGAAGAAGGGUAGUAGUGCUAUGUUGAUCAUUUAGUGCAUCUUUGUUGAUACUCCAGUUCUUGGAUCUUGGUUGCAAAUAUUGGUUUAGAGACAUAGAGUUCACUGAUUUGCGGUGCUUGUGCUUCUAGUAGCAACUGCAAGUUUGAAAGAGUCUAUUCUGUCAUGAAUUGUGUGGGCAAACUUUUUUCUUCCUCUGUUAGUAUAGCUACUAAUUCAAUUCAAUUUUGCUCACGUCAAGCGUAUUCGAUUUGCAGCAAGAAACCAUGGAGACUUUGGAACCGGAAGAAAGCAUAGAUUCGCAUGAAGAAACCAUGAAUUCACAGAAUCUACAAGACAAAGAAAGCGUGAAUUUGCAAGAAGGAACCAUGAAUUCACAGAAUCAGCAAGACAAUCUGGGAAGGCCACCGCGUUGCGCACCACAUGCAAUCUCUGAAUUAGGCAUACUUCUGUCAGAAACUGCAAGGGAAUUUGUCAAAAGUGCUGGGUUUCAUAAUAUGCUGAGGGAAUUUCCAUCGAAGAUUCCAAAAUUAACAUUUGUUAUGUGGCUUAUGGACAGAGUCCAAUUUGAUGAGAGUGGUAACAUUGCACUGACCCUAAAAGAGGGAAUGACACGAACCCUAACAAAGGAAGAUGUAUAUCUUAUUCUUGGAAUUGGCAAGACGCCUGGUGAAAGAACUGAUCUUCCAUCAGGGAAUCAAGAAUACCCAGCUGUACUAAAAAAACUGCAUGAGAUUUUGAGUUAUGCUAGUAGGAAGCUGGCAGAGAAGGGCGCCAAGAAAUCAAGAAAGGCCGCCAACAAAUCAAGAGUUUUAUUCACCAAACAGUGUAUUAAGGAGGUGCUUCAGAAUGCAGGCGACGAUGAAAUCAAAAAACACUUUGACGAUGAAAUGGCUGCCAAGUUAUUUUGCUUUGUAGUGUUAGACAAGUUGCUGAUUUCACUGGGCUUCAGUACUGUAACUAAAUCCCUUUUAGAUGCCGUCCUAAAUCUUGAUGAGUUGAAGAAAGUGGACUGGUCCACUUUAGUCUUCAACAAACUGAAGGAAAGCAUUGUUGACUGGAAAACGGGCAGUAGGAAUCUCACGGGUUGUAUUUACCUGCUGAUAGUAAGUAUCUUAGUUUCUCUUCUCUUUUUGUGUAGACAGCAAGUUAUCUAACUGUAGAAUCAUGCACAUGUGUUUUUUUUUGGACAACAUCAAGAAUGAAUUGCACCAGGAUCCCAAGCCCUUUCUGAUCCCAAGACUCAGUCGAUACACGUUUAAACGAAUAACUGAUCUGCUAGGAGAUGAUUAUGAAAAAAUAAAUUUUAAGAGUUGGGAAGACACCUGCUAUGCAAACAGAGGAAGUGUAGAAGAGUACACAGAGCCCACGGCAAAGAAAGCAGGCAAAAAGAGGAAAGAAGCACCCCCGGCAAUAGGACAAGGACAGGAAAAGGCA